GAUGAACGCUGGCGGCGUGCCUAAUACAUGCAAGUCGAGCGAACGGACGAGAAGCUUGCUUUUCUGAUGUUAGCGGCGGACGGGUGAGUAACACGUGGAUAACCUACCUAUAAGACUGGGAUAACUUCGGGAAACCGGAGCUAAUACCGGAUAAUAUUUUGAACCGCAUGGUUCAAAAGUGAAAGACGGUCUUGCUGUCACUUAUAGAUGGAUCCGCGCUGCAUUAGCUAGUUGGUAAGGUAACGGCUUACCAAGGCAACGAUGCAUAGCCGACCUGAGAGGGUGAUCGGCCACGCUGGAACUGAGACACGGUCCAGACUCCUACGGGAGGCAGCAGUAGGGAAUCUUCCGCAAUGGGCGAAAGCCUGACGGAGCAACGCCGCGUGAGUGAUGAAGGUCUUCGGAUCGUAAAACUCUGUUAUUAGGGAAGAACAUAUGUGUAAGUAACUGUGCACAUCUUGACGGUACCUAAUCAGAAAGCCACGGCUAACUACG
rnacentral:rRNA from 1 species